AUGCAGUUACAGCUCGAGGAUGAAAGGAUAAGAAAUAAGAAGUAUGAUUUCCAAAGGAGAAAGGAGUUGGAACGGCGUCAAAAGGCUACCUGUGUGCAAAUAAGUGAUGAGGAUGUUGCUCAAGCUCCUAAAUGUGUAGGCGAUGAAGGUGGUGACACGGCCUUUUCAACUGUUGAUGCCGGAUCUCAUCAAAGUGACAUGCCUGUGAAGACAAACUUGAUGCAAACUCGUUUGAUGCAAGUGUUUGAUCUUGAUGCGGUUAAGGAGAAGAAAGUUGUUUUGAAGAGGAAGAUGCCAGAUCGAAAUCUUGAUGGCACACAGAGGCAUAGCCCACGUGUGAAAGCUGGUUCCCAACCUGGUAAUAGCAAAGCUGAUGGGGAUAGUGUUGUUGUGAAAAUUGGUCCAAGAACACUUGGUGGCUGCCCUGUUCAUCGGAGUCCACGAGGUUUGACAAAUAAGAAGCCUUCUUCGUCUCCUCUUCAAGAGCGGACUUUGUUGAAAGAAAAUAAGAAGUGUAAAGUUCAUCCUGCAAAGGUGAACAAAGGUGUGAAGAAGCGUGCUUGUGUCGAAGCUGAAGAUGUUGUAUUUGAAGAAGAUGAUAUUGAAGUUGAUUCUGAAGAUGAAUUUGCAGUGCCUGUUAGCGUUAUGAGUCCAGUCAAGCCAGUGGGAGGCAAUGCCGGAAAAGUUGCCUUGGAUGAAGGUGACCAACGGAAAUUGAACUUAACUGUGCGAUGUUCGUUGGGAGAGGUUGAAGCUUGUGCUAAAUUUCUCGAGAGUCGGGUGAAGUCUAACAUUUCUGGCCCUCUGAUGGGAGUUUUGUACCUGAGGAUAGAUCUUGAUACAAUGACUCUUGACAUGGGUGAGGCUAAUAAGAAGCUUCACAUCACUAGCGAUGGUAUACACCAAUUAUUUGGUUUCCCUCGUGGUGGUCGUUCUGCGCCAAGGCCGUCAGAUGACGGAUAUGACGACGCUCUCAUGAAGUUAAUAACGGAUCUUGACAUUAGCAGGAACAAAGAUAUCAGGACAAAGGAUUUGAGGAAUAAGCUCAAGGUGCUCGUCAAGGAUACUAGCAAAGAUGACCUUGCUCUGAAAGUGUUCUUCAUUAUUGUGUUUAUGAAGGUUGUGUUCCCUGGUUCUGCCCCGCGUGUUUCCAGAGAGGCAGCAAUGUUUGAGGGUCUCGUCUUUGAGGACAUGGCUAAAAUGGAUUAUUGCCAGCUGAUGGUUGAUGAUCUUAGAAGGGUUGUUGCCAAGUACCAAGAUGGUGAUACCAUGGGGAAGGCAAUCACAAGAUGUGCUAUAGGGCCUGUACUAAUGUACCUUGACUGCCUUAUCCAUGGCAAGACUACGGAGCCUAACAUGCGAGUCCCCCGCAUAUGUUUCAUGGAUCCUGCCAAGCUUUCUGAUCUGGUUGAUGCAGAUUUGAUAAAAAAGUCAAUGCAGAUCCAAAGACUUGGGUGUUUGGGAAGCUUCCGUAAUGCUAGUACUUCACAGAGGCAGGGUUCUGGUAUUGAUGUUGUUGUGUCUGCUUUGGAGCGCGUUGAGCAUAUUCUAAGUAAUGUGUGUUCUGAGCUGCAAAAGGUCCCAACGACAAUUGAGCGUCUGAGCUGUAUCAAUGGUAUCCUUCCUGAAGGUCAUCAAUUUAAUGCCGAGGAAGCUGUUGACUACAUUGAGAUGGAGAGAAAUUUAAUUGGUGAUAUGUGUGACGGUGCCGCUGAUCUAGUUCAGAGCUCGGUUCGUCUGUUGAACAACAUGAACCAUUUCAAAACUAUGCAAGACUCUCGCUGCAAGCCAUAUGAAGAAAGUGCAAAUGUUGUUAUCAAGCAGAUUGAGCAGGAUGAGGCUGCUGCCACCGACAACAGGGCUAGUGAUGGUACUGAGGCUAAUGUUUCUGAUCAUGAAAUGAAUGAUGUUGGCUUGGAGCGUCUUGAUGUUGAUAUUGAGCAGGAUGAGGCUGCUGCCACCGACAGCAGGGCUGAUGAUGGUACUAAGGCUAAUGUUUCUGAUCACCAUACGAACGAUGUUGUCUUGGAGCACCCUGUUGUUGAUGAGACCAGUCAUAAUGUUGAGGCUGCUAUUGACCAUGGAGUUAAUGAUCCAUCUACUGAUAAGUGCAAGGGUCCUCUUGUUGGCGACGAGCCUUGUUUGCCCGUUGGUGAUGUUGCUUUGAAUGUUAGCAGCAGCAAGAUCAAUGGUGUUGCUGUGAAUGCUUCUAAGCUCAUAUUAUUCACUUUUUCUGAAUUUGCGCAAUGUUGGUACCAAAGUUGCUGA
rnacentral:rRNA from 1 species